GGUUCGGAUACAGAGAGACGUCAUCGUAGAGAAAGUGUUCUAAAAAUAACAAGUGCAAUGUUUUGGCGAUGAGAAAUACAAACAUACAGCUCAGUGAACCCCAAAUAAUUUACGUGUAUGUACACAUGUACCCUAAUCGAUGAAUCACUGGUAUAUCUUAACCAACGAAGUGUAGUAAUAAUUCGGCCCUUACAUAGUUUAAUAAAACUAUGCAUGAAUUUGUAAACAAAUUUCAAAGUGAACGAAGAUAUCGACUAAUGUAUUAACUAGACUUGUACAUGCACAGUGCAGUACAAAAUACUCUUAAGGAAUACAGCGACAUAUGACGACAACGACGUCAUCGUGACAAGUCUAGUCAACCAAAUAUCAUUUAUGGUCGCUGAAAUCUGUAUUCUGACGAGUAUGAUGAUGGAUUGAACACCACCAAGUACCAACAACCUGCCCAUGCAGAUCAUGUUCUCAAGAGCUGGGUCUUUCCCCUCUGGCUCCGGAAGAAUUUCAGCAUCCCAAAUGCAAGCAGCAUACACUCAUGGAACGAAUAUUUCGACACUGCGAUGUAGUCCCUGAAGGCAUCCGGUAUAGCAAAAAGCAGAUAUCCAGCUUGUUGCAAAACAUUAUGCAUCCUAAGUUGCCCAUAGAUAACGAAGAACUGGAAAAGCUCAUAGCAGAACACGACAGAAAUGGGUCUGGACAAUUGGAUUUUGACUCUGUAACGAAAAUUAUUUUUAGUUUUCUAAUGAAACAAUCAAUAGACUCUACUGUCGACUUGGAGUGUUACAUGGAAAAUGACUUGAAGGGGGAAGACAACAGAAAUGAUGUUAAUUAUCGGUUAUCAGUUGACGAUUUUAUCAUUUUUGGAAAUUUAUAACCAGUUUUUAUUAAUCUGGUCAAUGGUACAAAAGUAUUAUCGGUGGGCCCUUGUUGUAACAACGUUCAAUAUACUUAUAGUAUAUAAUAUAAAUAUUUAUAGUUUAUAUAAAUUUGUUGCUACUUUUGUAAUCGUCUUUGUUUUUAAUGACAAAUAGUAUUCCAAUUUUAAUUUACUCCAUUUAGUCAUCUCAGGUAGACAUUUCAACUUAUAAAUAUUUGGCGUAUUGACCUCUAUUUACAGAUCUGCAUAGAUAAAAGUAUUUUGUUUUUAAUUGCAUAAUACAAUACUUUGU